rnacentral:rRNA from 1 species
GACGAACGCUGGCGGCGUGCCUAAUACAUGCAAGUCGAACGCAGUGGGGACUGGUGAGUAACACGUGGGUAACCUCCCAUCAGAGGGGAUAACACUGGGAAACAGGUGCUAAACCGAUACUGAUGGAUGGACCCGCGGUGCAUUAGCUAGUUGGUGAGGUAACGGCUCACCAAGGCCACGAAGCAUAGCCGAGCUGAGAGGAUGAUCGGCCACACUGGGACUGAGACACGGCCCAGACUCCUACGGGAGGCAGCAGUAGGGAAUCUUCGGCAAUGGGCGAAAGUCUGACGGAGCCACGCCGCGUGAGUGAAGAAGGCUUUAGGGUUGUAAAGCACUGUUGGUAGGGAAGCGUUAUCGAACGAAAAAGCAACGGCUAACUCCGUGCCAGCAGCCGCGGUAAUAC